rnacentral:rRNA from 1 species
GACAGAGGCCUCAAGCGUUAGGCGGAAUCACUGGGCUUAAAGCGUGUGUAGGCGGAUCGUUAAGUGUCUUGUGAAAUCCCACGGCUCACCCGUGGAACUGCUGGGCAUACUGGCGAUCUUGGGCCAACUAGGGGCAACUGGAACAGCGGUGGAGCGGUGAAAUGCGUAGAUAUCGCUUGGAACGCCAAAGGUGAAAACAGGUUGCUGGGGUUGUGCCGACGCUGAGACACGAAAGCCAGGGGAGGCAAACGGG